ensembl:lncRNA
GGGAAAGAAGAAACGUUGUGUGGCACAGAGCCACAGCCCGAUCACGCCCACACACACAAUGCAGGCUGAGGGUGUUAGCUGCUUUCCUGUGGCUCUCAGCAUUGCAAUGACAGAUGAGGAGGAGGGGAGUGUUUUUUCAAGGUAUAAAAGGGGGUUACAAUGUUUGAUCUGUCCUUUUUAUCCUGCGGAGCCCUCCGCUUAAGGAUUUGGUUACAGGAAUAGGUUACUGUUUUUUCAAAUGUCUAUAGUACAAGAUAACUUUGACAAGACUAUAAUACAUGGUAAGAGCAUUUGUUAAACAUCAAUGCUGUACCAGGGGGAUGUAUCACUGUCGCCUGCGUCACUCACAUCAAUUUGUGCAUCCUUCCUUGUGUUGCAGGACUGGUGACCCUCUGUCAGGUCACUAUGGAGUUCCCACUCUGUCUGCUUGCUGUGUAUUUUCUUUGAAGAGGAGGAGAGGAGGAGGAGGAAAGGAGAUGAAAAGCCUGCUCCCAAGGGCAGGUCACUGGGUCCCUGGCCAUGUCCUGGUAGGGGGUGUUGGGAGUCUGUCCCCUAGCAGGUUCUGACCCUCAGCAUGACCUCGCAGGACCCAGUCAGUCGGGCCUGGUGAGCAGAGCCAGGAGCUGCAGAUCAGCUGAUCCGCAGCGACCUUGACGCACCGACGAACCCAAGCACCAGACACCUGAAGACACCUGAGACGACUAGAUGAAGCUCAUCCGAAGCACAAAGCUUAUAUUACUUACCUGAAUACUUAAACGAAAUGUACCCUAGAAUGCCGCCAGAUGAAGAACCAUUCUUUUCUUUUUUUGGUUGGCUUCUGGUUGUCUGCGUUGCUUGGUUUCGGCGGGUCAUGGGGGGCCUGCUGAAGAAAACGCAUUCCCAAAUACACUACAAUGCUGAACGCAUAAUUUCCAUGAAAAUUUAAAAUUUUAAAUAAAAAUUUAAAAAAACAUUGCAACAUGAACAACCUUAUCUGUGCCGUUUGUUCUGUAGUUGUCAUUUUGGGUAUUUAUACACUGAUAUUGAUGCCACAUUGCAGAGAACAGCUGUUUUAACAUCGCAAAUAAUACUUACAGUUGGUAGUGUAGUGCA